GGAUGUGAGGGUGAUCUGGCUGCGACAUCUGUCACCCCACUGAUCACCAGGGUUGAUUCAGCUGAUCUGGCUGGCUAGGUGGGUGUCCCCUUCCUCCCUCACCACUCCAUGUGCAUCCCUCCUGGAAGCUGCAUGCUCAGUCUAAGAGGACGGCUUUCCCCAAUAGAGACAGACCAGUCUUCGGUUGAGGGUAUAGGAGUAGCUGCGCUCCCCUGCUAGAACCUCCAAACAAGCUCUCAAGAAAGACACAGCUAUCAUAUGCCCAGCUCUAUGCAAAAUGCUCACCUAGCUGUAUUU
rnacentral:snRNA from 1 species